rnacentral:tRNA from 1 species
GAAGAUAGCACAGGGGUUGUGCACCUGACUUACAUGCCUGAGGCCCAGGGGCCCCAGGUUCAAUCCCUGGCAUCUUCU